rnacentral:rRNA from 1 species
GAGUUUGAUCUUGGCUCAGAUUGAACGCUGGCGGCAUGCCUUACACAUGCAAGUCGAACGGCAGCACGGGAGCUUGCUCCUGGUGGCGAGUGGCGAACGGGUGAGUAAUGCAUCGGAACGUAUCCUGGAGUGGGGGAUAACGUAGCGAAAGUUACGCUAAUACCGCAUAUUCUGUGAGCAGGGAAAGCGGGGGACCUUCGGGCCUCGCGCUCUUGGAGCGGCCGAUGUCGGAUUAGCUAGUU